GCGGGAGUAGCUCAGUUGGCUAGAGCAUCAGCCUUCCAAGCUGAGGGUCGCGGGUUCGAGUCCCUUAACCAGCUCCA
rnacentral:tRNA from 1 species